rnacentral:lncRNA from 1 species
UGUCCUAAAGGCAACCAUGUGGGGGAUGGAGUACACCGGUGAACACAUCGUUCACAAACACCUACAGGUUGCGAGCCUGCUAGUGUUCCACUGGACUGUCUAGAAGAGUCCUUGGUCGUCAUCCAUACUCCGCUAGAUGACAGAAUCAACAACAUCAACAUCGAGGCCUCUCACCAUUUUAUCACACAUCACCUAUUACAUCUACCCAUGUUUUACCCCAACAUUGUCAUAGAUAUAAAAUACAUAUAUAGUUUAAAUCAUUGAGAACAUGUAUAACAAUGUUCAUCCAGCAUAGAUAGCAAGUAUUCAGAUAAUAUGCACACAUAACACGUAAUUUAUAUAAAAUAAUUCAUAUCUAUGUGUAAGCUGAAAGUAACUAUGCACUCACCUGAAAGGUGGUGACUCAGCACUCGGAUAGCGCUUCGAUACUCUCAAAACAAUAUUCCUUCGAUAAAACCUAGUACCAAUACCACUAAGGUUUAGUCUAACGAUAACCGCGACAAAUUAAAAGUCUGACUAUUAUUAUUAUUAUUAUUAUACAAGCGUUAAUAACACUCAAUAUGACUCAUAAUAAUAGCCGAAAUAGUUAUUUUAAGGACCUAAUAACAUUCCUAUAAUUAUUUGAAAGCUAUAUUAAAAAUUGCGUAAGCGUAACACACUUACAGCGAAUUUUAUCGAAAACCAGAACUUAUUUGGAGCAGCGUUUCGAAACCGAAAGACUCAUUUUUCUCGGGACUCCGGGAGCCUCGGGGCUUCCUUAGGGUGCUAGGGGGUUUAUCUAGGGUUUAGGGAGGGUUUGGGGUUGUAGAUAGAGAAAGAAACUAGAGAGAGAAUGGAAUUUGGUGUGAAAAAUGAAGCUGCCUUCGGCCCUUUAUAUAGCCUGCGAGGCCUCGGUACGCUGGGCGUACCUCGGACCUACGCUGGGCGUAAUGGCUCGGAUAAGGCCUCCAGUUGUCUCGCGAGGCGUAUAGACUUCGGACGUUGGGCGUAAUGCGAGGCGACGUGUCAUCAUCCGAAGCGAGGACCGUGGGCCGCAAGCGACGGUCAGGAUUAAGCCACGUCAUCAGUCCAUGCCUCAGCUUCGCAAAUUCACUUUCCAACUUUAAAAAUUCGUGACUAUCACAUACGAGCUCCGUUUUCGACGUUCUUUAUAUCCAUGCGAAGGUGCGAACGUACUCUACAACUUUCGUUUAGACUCUGUCAGCUAAUUUUGACUCGAUUUUAAAUUUUAUAUUAUUAACAGGCCGGGACAGGAUUGGUCCGUUAAAUCCUCAUAACUUCUUCAUCCGGCGUCUGUUUUCGCCCAUCUUUUUCUCGUUACGCUACUCUUAAUGAGAUCUUCGAUUCUCGUUUAGAUCAUGUUGGCUAAAAGUUCACUCGAUCUAAUAUUCGAAUUUCGGGCUGUACACUGCUAAUCCGAAACUUCGAAAAAUCAUAACUUCUUCAUACGAAGUCAGAUUUGGGCGUUCUUUUUAUCGAUGUUCUUAGUUUAACAUAUUAUACGGCUUUAGUUUAGAGCUCUAAGGCUAAAUCUCGCUCUAUCGUAAAUUCACUAUUUACGCUUCCCGGUUUCGCGUCGGUUCUGUCGCGAAACUUCGACGGGUCAUAACUUCUUCGUUAUAACUCGGAUUUCGGCGUUCCUUAUAUCCUCGGAAUCCUUGUUUCGACCACUAAAACUGUAUGUAAAGAUAUCGGACUUAUCUCACACUUUAAUUUUGACGCUUAUUUUUAUUCUUUAUUAAUUAUACAUUUAUAAUUAAAUAAUAAGCACAUAAAUACACAUAAUUCACAUAAUACUCAAAUAUUUCAUCUUUAUUACUUCAAAAAGAGUUACAAUAGUUGACCUAGACUAUUACAUUGACAAAAAUGCUUAGCCCUGAAACUCGGGCGUUACAAUUCUCUCCCCCUUAGGAUGAUUCCGUCCCGGAAUCAUGCAUCAGCAAACAGAUGUGGAUAGCGACUCAUCAUGUCAUCCUCUGUUUCCCAAGUGAGAUUCGGCCCAUUCGAAUGUUUCCAUCGGACUAGCACUAAGUCGACCAUCUUGCGUCGUAACUUCUUAGUCUUACGGUCAACAAUUGCCUCAGGCUCUUCGAUCAACCUUUUAUUCUCAUCCAUCCUUAACUCUGAGAUUGGAAUUAUGUCGGGAACAUCUCCCGUGAAUUUCCUCAAAUAACACACAUGGAAGGUGUUAUGAAUACCAUUGAGUUCUUCGGGCAAUUCCAGCUUGUAAGCUUGGUUCCCAAUCUUCUGAAGAACUUUGAACGGUCCAAUAAACCUUGGACUCAACUUUCCUCGUUUCCCAAAUCGUAUAAGUCCCUUCCACGGUGAGACUUUAAGCAAAACGGAAUCCCCAACUUCGAAAGUUAUCGGUCGUCUUUUCUUGUCAGCAUAGCUCUUCUGACGAUCCUGGGCUGCUAACAUCCUUUCCCUAAUCACCUUCAACUUCUCAGCAGUCUCAUGGACUAUCUCGGGGCCCAUAAACUGCUUCUCUCCGGCUUCAAGCCAACAAGACGGCGUACGACACUUCUGCCCAUACAAGGCUUGAUAAGGAGCCAUCUUGAUGCUCGAGUGAAAACUAUUGUUGUAGGAAAAUUCUACCAGAGGUAAGUGCUCGUCCCAAUUCCCUUGGAAUUCGAGGGUACAUGCUCUCAGCAUAUCUUCCAGCGUCUGAAUCGUUCUUUCGCUCUGACCAUCAGUUUGCGGAUGAUAAGCAGUACUCAAACACAACUUUGUACCUAACUCCUCUUGUAGACUCCUCCAAAACCUUGACGUGAAACGACUAUCACGAUCUGAUACAAUCGUAAGAGGGACACCGUGAAGUCUUACAAUUUCCUUCACGUAAGCAUUUGCGAGCUUAUCCAUAGACCACUUCUCGUUGGCUGCUAUGAAGUGUGCACUCUUGGUGAAACGAUCCACGACUACCCAAAUCAUGUCGUGACCGUUCUUCGUCCUGGGCAGUUUAGUCACAAAAUCCAUGGUGAUGUCUUCCCAUUUACCCAUGGGUACAGGUAAAGGUUCUAAACUCCCAUACGGUUUCUGAUGUUGUGCCUUAACCCUCGCACAUGUUACGCACUCGGCCACAUACUUCGCAACAUCGAGCUUCAUCGUCGGCCACCAGUAGUAGGGUUUUAGGUCCCUAUACAUUUUAGUGCUACCGGGAUGAAUCGAGUACAUGGUCUUGUGUGCUUCUUCCAUCAGAAGAUCUCUUAUUCCUCCCGUCUUAGGUACCCAAAUUCGAUCUUGGAAUACCUUCAGUCCUCGACUGUUUGUACCGAACACUAACGUUCUUCCCAAACGUUCUUCCUUUCGGUCAUUUUUCUCUAAAGCUUCUUCUUGAGCUUUCCUGAUACUUUCCACAAUCGUCGAGAUGACUUCAAUUCUUAACGCUAUUGGCCUUUUCCUUUCAAGAUUGACUUUCCAACUGAGAGCAUCGGCAACAAUAUUUGCUUUACCUGGGUGGUAAAGUAUCUCACAGUCGUAGUCCUUGAGAAGUUCUAGCCAGCGUCGUUGCCUCAUGUUCAACUCCUUCUGAUUAAAGAGAUACUGGAGACUCUUAUGAUCAGUGAAGAGCUUGCACUUCGUGCCGUAGAGGUAAUGCCUCCAUAUCUUUAAGGCAAAAACUACCGCUGCCAACUCCAGAUCAUGAGUGGGGUAGUUCUUUUCGUGCUCUUUCAAUUGUCGAGAUGCGUAUGCUAUCACCUUUUCUCUUUGGGUCAGAACACAACCCAACCCGACUCCAGAAGCGUCACUAUAAACCGCGAAAUCUUCGACUCCAUCGGGUAGAGAAAGUAUCGGUGCUUCACAUAACUUCUUCUUUAGCUUCUCGAAUGCCUCAUCGUGUUUCUCACUCCACGUAUACGUAGCUCCUUUAUGAGUCAAAGCUGUUAAUGGAGCAGCUAUCGAAGAAAAGCCUUGGAUAAAUCGUCGAUAAUAUCCGGCUAAUCCUAGAAAGCUUCGAAUCUCCGUGGGACUCUUUGGACGUUCCCACUUCAUUACAGCCUCGAUCUUUGCGGGGUCAACCAUUAUUCCCUCCUGGUUAACAACAUGACCCAAGAAUUGGACUUCCCGUAUCCAAAAGUCGCAUUUGGAGAACUUUGCAAAAAGCUUCUCCUUCUUCAACACUUCUAAUACUUCCCGUAGAUGCUUGCCAUGCUCCUCUUGGCUUUUCGAGUAGAUGAGAAUGUCGUCGAUGAACACUAUCACGGAUUUAUCGAGGAAUGGUUUACAAACCCUAUUCAUCAAAUCCAUGAAUGCUGCGGGAGCAUUGGUUAGCCCGAAUGACAUAACCAAGAACUCGUAGUGUCCAUAUCUCGUUCUGAAUGCAGUCUUCUCAAUAUCCUGCUUUCUCACCUUUAGCUGAUGAUAUCCUGACCUAAGAUCGAUCUUUGAGAAGUAGCUCGAACCUUGCAGCUGAUCGAACAGGUCAUCAAUCCUCGGCAAUGGAUACUUGUUCUUCACCGUUGCCUUAUUCAGCUCUCGGUAGUCUAUACACAUUCUCAUACUUCCGUCCUUCUUCUUCACAAAUAACACUGGAGCUCCCAGGGUGAUGAACUAGGUCGAAUGAAACCGUUGUCCAAUAGCUCCUGAAGUUGCACCAUGAGCUCCUUCAUCUCCGUCGGUGCUAAUCGGUAAUGUGCUAUUGCUAUCGGUGUUGUUGCUGGUAACAAGUCGAUACGAAACUCCACUUGCCUAUCAGGUGGUAAUCUGGGAAGAUCUUCAGGAAAGACUUCCGGAUAAUCACACACAACCGGUAUAUUCUGCACCUCUUUCUUCUCCUUCUUGGCAUCGAUUACGAAUGCCAAGUAUGAUGCACAUCCUUUGGACAAACAUUUCCUGGCUUUCAUCAGGGAGAUGAUUCCAGAAUUCACUCUGCGUUUGUCCCCAUACACCAUAAAUGAUUCUUUUCCGGGUGGGUUUACCUUUACUAUCUUCUUUCGGCAUUGAAUCUCAGCAUCGUUGGCGCUAAGCCAAUCCAUACCCAAAACGAUGUCGAAACCGUUUAACUCUAUUGGUAAUAGUUCUUCGUGGAAUUCGUUUCCAUUUAGGUCGAUGACGAUGUUCCUAAUACGAUUACUAACAGGUACGAAUUUGCCACUGGCAACUUCUACAAUCAGGGCAUUAUCAAGUUUUUCUACAGGCAAUGCUGAUUUCCCACCAAAUUUAUGUGACACAAAGGAGUAGUUGGCUCCGGAAUCAAAUAGUAUAUUUGUAGGCAAACAAUUUACAGGAAAGGUACCUGAAGCGACGUCUGCUGCCUCCUUCGCAGCCUCGAGCGUCAUCUGGAAGGCUCUUGCCUUCGGCUUCGGUGGUAUGUUGGGUCUUCCUGCCUCCUUCUUCUUCGGGCAAUCCUUUGAAAUGUGCCCCUCCUCGUUGCACUCAUAACAGACCUUCUUAGUGAACGUGCAUUCGUUGGCAUAGUGCUCAGGCUUUCGGCAUUUGAAACAAGUGACCCCUCCGUCACACUUCCCAUAGUGCUUCUUCUUACACUUGUCACACCACUUUGCUUAUGAUCCUCCUCCUCUCGAACCAGACUUCGAGAAUCUACCCUUCUUACCGGACCUCGAGGAUACAUCAAAUUUCCUUUUCUCUCCCACUUCCGCUCUCUCCAGACCCUUCUCUCGUAUCUGGGUCUCCACAUUCUUAGCAGCCCAGAUGGCGGCUUUCAGAGUGGUAGUUUGUUUGACCAUUGGACCGAAGUCCGCUGGUAAUCCGAGGGCAAAUUUGUUAACCUUGGAGAGUUCAGUUGGGACGAGGUGAGGAACAAGCUUCAUUUUCUCAGUAAAGCUUGCAGUGUAUUCAGUAACGCUCAUUCUUCCCUUCUUUAGAUUCUGGAAUUCGUUGUUGAUUUCCAGAAGAUCCUGCUCAGAGCAGUAUUGCAUCUUCAACUGUACCAAAAAAUCCUCCCACGACAUCUUGCUUGCUUCACCUUUGGGCAUUGAAUCAGCUAGUAGCUUCCACCAGCUUAGUACUCCAGAUUUCAACAGAGGAACCGUGAGAGCGGUCUUCUGUUUGUUGCUACACUCGCAACUCUCAAACAUCGUCUCCAUUUCAGAGAUCUAGUUCAUGACUUCCACCGGCAUCGGGCUUCCAGAUAGACUUGGUAGUUUGGAUGCCAUGAAAUCCUUGUAUUUGCAUCCACGUCCAUCAUUUCCUCCAUCCUGGUGGUUUUGCCUAACUAUUAGUGGGUUGGCUUGACCAACAGUCCCACUGUAGUUUCCCUCCUCAGUCUGCCCUUUGUGCAACUCGGGUUGUUCGAUCUGAAUAGUCGCUUCCUCUCGAUUUUGCUGGAGCAAACUUCUGUUUUCCUCCAUUUGAUGAUCCAACAUCGCCUGGAUCAUCGCUUGUACUCCGACCAUCGUUAUUGGCUCAGCAACGGCUUCCACAACUGGUAUUUGCUCAAUCGCUAAGGGAUGAUCUCGGUUCCCAUUUGCAUUCACGUUUCCGCUACGGGUCCUUGCCAUCUUGAUCUAUACACCGAAUAAGGUGAAUCUAGAUCUUUAUUUAGGACUGACGUUUAAAUCAUCCUUAUCACGCCGAAGCGUUUAUAUGCUAGUUCUAAUAUCGUAGUCGUACGUUUAGAAUCCUAAACACAUAAGGUUUCCAGAUCCGGUCGGCAACAGACCAUAGAUCCGAACAAUUAACAACAUAUCAGGCACAAAGCAUUUACCACAUAAAAGCAUUUUAGUCAUAAUUCCUAAAAUAAGCUAGUGCUCACACCUCACAAUCAUCGCUUAGCAUUCUAAGUUUAAGUCUAGAAAUCCUACAAAUUCCUAGUUCGCUUGAUACGAACUGUGACAUCCCCAUUUUCACGGCUAGAAAAGACCGGUUUAGUUUAUACUUUAUUUCAAAAUCAGAGUAAUCUUUUAAUAAAAGAAUUGCGGAAUUUGUCCCAAAACAAUAUUAUGAUAAAGAUUUAUCAAAAGCAUUUCCUUAGAAAUGUAUUUCAUUAAAAGACACGGGAUGUCAUGUUCGAUACAAUACAUAAGUAUAAACAAUACAGUAUAAGCCUUACUACAUUAUUUCAUAUCUACAGGCCUAUAUCCGUAAUCCCUCGUCCAAAACAUCACACCUAUGCUCAUGCGCCACUACCUGUAAUACAUAAAACUGAGUGGGUCAGGCUUGGGAGCCUGGUGAGCACAUAGGGUUUUCAACCCACAAUAAAUAAGUUUAUUAAUUUCAUCAAUCAACAAUAACCCGAUUACCCGUUCCCGUUAUCCUCACUUUACGUCCCUAAACACCUAUCAUAAGGGACCUAGCCUAAGGAUCAUCAUCGGGACGGACACUACUGCUAAGGGGAUUCCUUAGCAAUAAAUGUCCUAAAGGCAACCAUGUGGGGGAUGGAGUACACCGGUGAACACAUCGUUCACAAACACCUACAGGUUGCGAGCCUGCUAGUGUUCCACUGGACUGUCUAGAAGAGUCCAUGGUCGUCAUCCAUACUCCGCUAGAUGACAGAAUCAACAACAUCAACAUCGAGGCCUCUCAUCAUUUUAUCACACAUCACCUAUUACAUCUACCCAUGUUUU